rnacentral:rRNA from 1 species
GCGAACGCUGGCGGCAGGCCUAAUACAUGCAAGUCGAGCGGCCCUUCGGGGCAGCGGCGGACGGGUGAGUAACGCGUGGGGACGUGCCCUUUGGUACGGAACAACUGAGGGAAACUUCAGCUAAUACCGUAUGUGCCCUUCGGGGGAAAGAUUUAUCGCCAUUGGAGCGGCCCGCGUUAGAUUAGCUAGUUGGUGGGGUAACGGCCUACCAAGGCGACGAUCUAUAGCUGGUCUGAGAGGAUGAUCAGCCACACUGGGACUGAGACACGGCCCAGACUCCUACGGGAGGCAGCAGUAGGGAAUCUUGCGCAAUGGGCGAAAGCCUGACGCAGCCAUGCCGCGUGAAUGAUGAAGGUCUUAGGAUUGUAAAAUUCUUUCACCGGGGACGAUAAUGACGGUACCCGGAGAAGAAGCCCCGGCUAACUUCGUGCCAGCCGCCGCCGUAAUAC